GCCGAGGUGAUGGAAUUGGUAGACAUACGGGACUUAAAAUCCCGAGGACCGAAAGGUCCGUGUGGGUUCGACUCCCACCCUCGGCA
rnacentral:tRNA from 1 species